rnacentral:rRNA from 1 species
UACGAAGGGGGCUAGCGUUGCUCGGAAUCACUGGGCGUAAAGGGCGCGUAGGCGGGCUCUUAAGUCGGGGGUGAAAGCCUGUGGCUCAACCACAGAAUGGCCUUCGAUACUGGGAGCCUUGAGACCGGAAGAGGUGAGUGGAACUGCGAGUGUAGAGGUGAAAUUCGUAGAUAUUCGCAAGAACACCAGUGGCGAAGGCGGCUCACUGGUCCGGGUCUGACGCUGAGGCGCGAAAGCGUGGGGAGCAAACAGG